CCUACGGGAGGCUGCAGUGAGGAAUAUUGGUCAAUGGACGAGAGUCUGAACCAGCCAAGUAGCGUGAAGGAUGACUGCCCUAUGGGUUGUAAACUUCUUUUAUCUGGGAAUAAAACGUUCCACGUGUGGGAUUUUGUAUGUACCAUAUGAAUAAGGAUCGGCUAACUCCGUGCCAGCAGCCGCGGUAAUACGGAGGAUCCGAGCGUUAUCCGGAUUUAUUGGGUUUAAAGGGAGCGUAGGUGGAUUGUUAAGUCAGUUGUGAAAGUUUGCGGCGCAACCGUAAAAUUGCAGUUGAAACUGGCAGUCUUGAGUACAGUAGAGGUGGGCGGAAUUCGUGGUGUAGCGGUGAAAUGCUUAGAUAUCACGAAGAACUCCGAUUGCGAAGGCAGUUCACUGGACUGCAACUGACACUGAGGCUCGAAAGUGUGGGUAUCAAACAGGAUUAGAUACCCCUGUAGUC
rnacentral:rRNA from 1 species